GAUGAACGCUGGCGGCGUGCUUAACACAUGCAAGUCGAACGGAAAGGCCCAAGCUUGCUUGGGUACUCGAGUGGCGAACGGGUGAGUAACACGUGGGUGAUCUGCCCUGUACUUCGGGAUAAGCCUGGGAAACUGGGUCUAAUACUGGAUAGGACCACUUCUUGGAUGGUGUGGUGGAAAGUUUUUUCGGUGUGGGAUGAGCUCGCGGCCUAUCAGCUUGUUGGUGGGGUAAUGGCCUACCAAGGCGUCGACGGGUAGCCGGCCUGGGAGGGUGUACGGCCACAUUGGGGCUGAGAUACGGCCCCGACUCCUACGGGGGGCAGCAGUGGGGAAUAUUGCACAAUGGGCGCAAGCCUGAUGCAGCGACGCCGCGUGGGGGAUGACGGCCUUCGGGUUGUAAACUCCUUUCGCUAGGGACGAAGCGUUUUUGUGACGGUACCUGGAGAAGAAGCACCGGCUAACUACGUG
rnacentral:rRNA from 1 species